rnacentral:lncRNA from 1 species
CUCAGUGUGGAAGGCCUGUCUGAAAGGAUCAGAGCAGAUGUUUGCUCUGAGGGCAGGCUGGCUUCCAAAGAGGAAAAAGGGCAGAAUUAGCCAGUGGCUUUCGUGAGCUGAAGUGAGGAAGGAAUGGGAAAGAGCUAGUGCUGCAUGGAAGGAAAUAUCAGGAGGGGCCGAGUGUUACCCCUGACAGUAUUUAAUUUAGCGUGAAUAUUCUCCUCCUCCAAUUUUUCACACUGAUAGGACGUGCAUCUUCAACCACAUUUCCUUUCUCCGAAUCUGCUGCCCUGAAACUGAUGCUCAGCCCAGAAGUUAAGGUUGCCUCAGAGACUUCCUUGGCCAAAAUCCCUGCGUCCUCUACACUUUCAUCAACAGGUAUGGACCAUUCACCAGACCCCACUCCAAUAAUAGAGCCAGAAGCUGCCACCAUGUCAUACCUGGG